rnacentral:rRNA from 1 species
UACAGAGGGUGCAAGCGUUGCUCGGAUUUACUGGGCGUAAAGCGUACGCAGACGGUGAGAAAGGUCGGAUGUGAAAGCCCCGGGCUCAACCCGGGAACUGCAUCCGAAACCAUCUCGCUAGAGUAUGGGAGAGGGAAGCGGAAUUCCUGGUGUAGAGGUGAAAUUCGUAGAUAUCAGGAAGAACACCCGUGGCGAAGGCGGCUUUCUGGGACGGUACUGACGCUGAGACGCGAAAGCGUGGGGAGCGAACAGG